rnacentral:rRNA from 1 species
AGAACGAACGCUGGCGGCAGGCCUAACACAUGCAAGUCGAACGCCCCGCAAGGGGAGUGGCAGACGGGUGAGUAACGCGUGGGAACAUACCUUUCGGUUCGGAAUAGCUCAGGGAAACUUGAAUUAAUACCGGAUACGUCCAAGGUUUAACGACUUUGGAGAAAGAUUUAUCGCCGAAAGAUUGGCCCGCGUCCGAUUAGCUAGUUGGUGGGGUAAUAGCUUACCAAGGCGACGAUCGGUAGCUGGUCUGAGAGGAUGAUCAGCCACACUGGGACUGAGACACGGCCCAGACUCCUACGGGAGGCAGCAGUGGGGGAUAUUGGACAAUGGGCGCAAGCCUGAUCCAGCCAUGCCGCGUGAGUGAUGAAGGCCCUAGGGUUGUAAAGCUCUUUCGUCAGGGACGAUAAUGACGGUACCUGAAGAGAAGCCCGGCUAACUUCGCGCCAGCAGCCGC